rnacentral:rRNA from 1 species
GUCCACGCUGUAAACGAUGAGCACUAGGUGUCGCGGGUAUUGACCCCUGCGGUGCCGACGCUAACGCAUUAAGUGCUCCGCCUGGGGACUACGGCCGCAAGGCUAAAACUCAAAGGAAUUGACGGGGGCCCGCACAAGCGGUGGAGCAUGUGGUUCAAUUCGACGCAACGCGAAGAACCUUACCUGGGCUAGACAACGGAGGACCGCCUCAGAGAUGAGGUUUUCCCUCGGGACUUCCGGUUCAGGUGCUGCAUGGCUGUCGU